rnacentral:rRNA from 1 species
ACAUAAAUGUUAAAGGGGGUUUCCGCCCCUUAUUGCUGCACCUAACGCAUUAAUCACUCCGCCUGGGGAGUACGGCCGCAAGACUGAAACUCAAAGGAAUUGACGGGGGCCCGCACAAGCGGUGGAGCAUGUGGUUUAAUUCGAAACAACGCGAACAACCUUACCAGGUCUUGACAUCCUCUGACAAUCCUAGAGAUAGGACGUCCCCUUCGGGGGCAGAGUGACAGGUGGUGCAUGGUUGUCGUCAGCUCGUGUCGUGAGAUGUUGGGUUAAGUCCCGCAACGAGCGCAACCCUUGAUCUUAGUUGCCAGCAUUCAGUUGGGCACUCUAAGGUGACUGCCGGUGACAAACCGGAGGAAGGUGGGGAUGACGUCAAAUCAUCAUGCCCCUUAUGACCUGGGCUACACACGUGCUACAAUGGACAGAACAAAGGGCAGCGAAACCGCGAGGUUAAGCCAAUCCCACAAAUCUGUUCUCAGUUCGGAUCGCAGUCUGCAACUCGACUGCGUGAAGCUGGAAUCGCUAGUAAUCGCGGAUCACCAUGCCGCGUUGAAUACGUUCCCGGGCCUUGUACACACCGCCCGUCACACCACGAGAGUUUGUAACACCCGAAGUCGGUGAGGUAACCUUUUAGGAGCCAGCCGCCGAAGGUGGGACAGAUGAUUGGGGUGAAGUCGUAACAAGGUAAACCGUAAUUCGUUGAGCUGUUUCCCCCCUA